AGUUAUGGCCAGGUUAUGGCAUGUGUCAGGUUAAUCUGAACCUCAGGUGGAGAGCGGGACAGCAACGUUCUACAUUGGUGCGCUUACGGCAACCCAAAAGACUGCCAAAAUCAACUGUCAAGAGAAAAACUCGUGCUUGCCUCACUUCAGUUUCCCCAGCGCCAGUGUGUGUCAGACUUCAGUUUAUGCAGAUGUGCUGCUGCUGAAGUCACCCGGUGGAGGAACUUGUUUUUUGACAGGCAUACUACAGAUGCUGUGCUGCGAACGGACACUGCAGUCACCUGUGGGAGGGGUCAAUCAAAUCGGAUCUCAAAAACAGAUGUCGCGAAUCUGAUCUGAUCUACCUACCUCUAUGUGGCAAUAGAGUACCUGCUUUUACUGGCCAGGGGACCAAGAUGAAAACAAGAGGCCUGUACCCAGACAUACAAGCACCCAUCAAGUCACCCAGUCCUCCACCACCUGCCGUGCAGCUAUACCCAUCCAUCAAAUCCAGCCACUUGCCCACCCUAACCAGUCACAGCAUUUGGAGGCAAUAAAGUAUAAUGAAAUGUA